rnacentral:ncRNA from 2 species
AUACGCAUUCGGGGUCAGUGAAAGUCUGAACCGGCGGUUAUAGUCCGCGACCCGCUAAGGCGGUUGAGCUGGUGAAAUUCCGGCACCGACGGUAAAAGUCCGGAAGGGAGAAUGUUACA